UUAAAUGUAAAUUAAUAAGCUAAGUGAUUAAUAGUUAAGUUCUUUAAAGCUAAAUGAUUUGGCGGUAUUUUAAUCUUUUCAGAGGAACCUGUUCAGUUAUCGAUAAUCCACGAUUUAAUUAACUUAAAUUAGAAACUUUUAUAUCGUCGUUAUUAAAUAUUUUAUAAGAAUUAAAUAUUUAAAAUUUCUUUAUUAAGAAAAAAAUCAGAUCAAGGUGAAGUUUAUAUUUAAGAUGAGAUGGGUUACAUUAAAUUAUAUUUAUGGAUUUUAAAUUUUAAAAAUUUUAUGAAAUUGGAUUUGAAAGUAAUUAGUUAAAA
rnacentral:rRNA from 1 species